rnacentral:rRNA from 1 species
GGACUACCAGGGUUUCUAAUCCUGUUUGAUCCCCACGCUUUCGUGCCUCAGCGUCAAUACUCGUCCAGAUAGCCGCUUGCGCCACUGGUGUUCCUCCCAAUAUCUACGUAUUUCACUACUACACUGGGAAUUCCGCUAUCCUCUCCGAGAUUCUAGUCCUACAGUUUUGAAAGCAAUUCCAGGGUUGAGCCCUGGGCUUUCACUUCCAACUUGUAAGACAGCCUACGCACGCUUUACGCCCAGUGAUUCCGAAUAACGCUCGCCCCCCUCGUAUUACCGCGGCGGCUGGCAC